rnacentral:rRNA from 1 species
CCGCGGGAAUUCGAUUGAGUUUGAUCCUGGCUCAGAAUCAACGCCGGCGGCGUGCCUCAGACAUGCAAGUCGAGCGAUUAAAGCUCUCUUCGGAGAGUGCAUAGAGUGGCGCACGGGUGAGUAACACGUAAGUAAUCUACCCUCGAGUGGGGAAUAACAACCGGAAACGGUUGCUAAUACCGCAUAAUGCAGCGGCACCGCAAGGUGACAGUUGUUAAAGAUUCAUCGCUUGAGGAGGAGCUUGCGGCAGAUUAGCUAGUUGGUAAGGUAAUGGCUUACCAAGGCUACGAUCUGUAACCGGUCUAAGAGGACGGUCGGUCACACUGACACUGAAUAACGGGUCAGACUCCUACGGGAGGCAGCAGUCGGGAAUUUUGGGCAAUGGGCGAAAGCCUGACCCAGCAACGCCGCGUGAAGGAUGAAGUAUUUCGGUAUGUAAACUUCGAAAGAAUAGGAAGAAUAAAUGACGGUACUAUUUAUAAGGUCCGGCUAACUACGUGCCAGCAGCCGCGGUAAUACGUAGGGGACCAAGCGUUGUUCGGAUUUACUGGGCGUAAAGGGCGCGUAGGCGGUGUUGUAAGUCACUUGUGAAAUCUCUGAGCUUAACUCAGAACGGCCAAGUGAUACUGCAGCACUAGAGUGCAGAA